UUAGGUAUUUAGGUGUACUUCGAGUCUGCACAUGUCAAUCAGCUUCCAUUGCCAACGAAGAAUUUCAUCCAACAUCUUCUCAAGUUCACAUGCCUUACCUGCAUCUAGUGGUUCAGGAUGCUCUAAUAUGUAUCUUUCUCAACUUCCUCAUGAUUACUGAAUGUAACACUGGUUAACAAUAAUUUAGGUUAAUAUGCAGGGACCUUAUGGAUCCGAAUGGCCUUCAGAAGAGAAAAUUAAGUGCUAGGAAAUGGUUGCUCCAGAAGCACAAUAUAUCCCUUUCAGGAAAAUUGCAAAUAUCUGUAUUGCAAAAAGUUCUAGGAAGCAAGAUGCAGGGGUGGAAUCACUGGAAUAGUGGAAUGUACAGAUGGAGCAUGUAGUGGAGAUCGCUUGCUUUGUAUUGUACACUCCAGGUUUGUUCUUGCCUUCUUGGAGAGGAUGUGCUCAGUGUUUAUGUGUAUGAGAUACAGUUGGAGUCUACUUCCCAAGGAAAUGGGUUUGGGAAGUUUCUAAUGCAGUUGAUUGAACCUCGCAAGGUGAUCUAUCUUCUUAAGCAGCUGCAUUCUGAAUGUUAUGUUAAGGUAGAGGCUGUCAUGGCAGCUCUUCUGAUUUAUGCAUGUUUCUUUUUGCCUGAUUGCAAUUUUGAUGACAUCUUGGCUUGAUUGAUCAUAAAACUUAUCCACAGUGCAUCUGCAUAUGCAGAGUCAAAUAAGAUCCAUGAUGCUAACAGUUCCAAAACCUAAUACGGAAGCUAUGGCUUUCUACAAUAAGUUGAGAUAUGCCAUAUCCUACCUCACCAUCACGAGUGGAUCUGCUGAUCAGGAUUGGUACAAGCUAUGAGAUUUUGUGCAAGACAUUUGACGCUGAAGCUAAGUGCAACCUGGAGGUGCGUAGCAUGUUCGAUAUUGAAUAAAGUCACUGC